AGCUGGAUUUCCCCUAGAAAAUUUCCAGACGAUCUAAGAAUUCAUGUAGUUUUGGUUUGAUCUUUUGAUUUUUUUUAACUCGAUGCAAUAAAAAGAGUUUUAAGAUAAAUGAAGUUUGAAUAUGGGAGAUCAGCAAUCAAAAGAGGGACUAGAAGCAGGUUUAGUUAAUUCAGAAGAGCAUCCUGAAGAGAAAGUACCUUAUCCACCCCAGCAUAACUAUAACAAUGGUCAUGUG